rnacentral:rRNA from 1 species
GAUGAACGCUGGCGGCGUGCCUAAUACAUGCAAGUCGAGCGAACGGACGAGAAGCUUGCUUCUCUGACGUUAGCGGCGGACGGGUGAGUAACACGUGGAUAACCUACCUAUAAGACUGGGAUAACUUCGGGAAACCGUAGCUAAUACCGGAUAAUAUUUUGAACCGCAUGGUUCAAUAGUGAAAGACGGUCUUGCUGUCACUUAUAGAUGGAUCCGCGCUGCAUUAGCUAGUUGGUAAGGUAACGGCUUACCAAGGCAACGAUGCAUAGCCGACCUGAGAGGGUGAUCGGCCACACUGGAACUGAGACACGGUCCAGACUCCUACGGGAGGCAGCAGUAGGGAAUCUUCCGCAAUGGGCGAAAGCCUGACGGAGCAACGCCGCGUGAGUGAUGAAGGUCUUCGGAUCGUAAAACUCUGUUAUUAGGGAAGAACAAAUGUGUAAGUAACUGUGCACGUCUUGACGGUACCUAAUCAGAAAGCCACGGCUAACUACGUG